rnacentral:rRNA from 1 species
GACGAACGCUGGCGGCGUGCUUAACACAUGCAAGUCGAACGGAAAGGCCCUGCUUUUGUGGGGUGCUCGAGUGGCGAACGGGUGAGUAACACGUGAGUAACCUGCCCUUGACCUUGGGAUAACUUCAGGAAACUGGGGCUAAUACCGGAUAGGAGCUCCUGCUGCAUGGUGGGGGUUGGAAAGUUUCGGCGGUUGGGGAUGGACUCGCGGCUUAUCAGCUUGUUGGUGGGGUAGUGGCUUACCAAGGCUUUGACGGGUAGCCGGCCUGAGAGGGUGACCGGCCACAUUGGGACUGAGAUACGGCCCAGACUCCUACGGGAGGCAGCAGUGGGGAAUAUUGCACAAUGGGCGGAAGCCUGAUGCAGCAACGCCGCGUGCGGGAUGACGGCCUUCGGGUUGUGAACCGCUUUCGCCUGUGACGAAGCGUGAGUGACGGUAAUGGGUAAAGAAGCACCGGCUAACUACGUG